GGCGUCCGCAUUGUAAUCUCAAGAAGUGUUUUCCGUUUCGGACCAUGCCUAAGUCUCUUGGAAAAGAGCAUCAUAGAGGGUGAUAAUCCCGUACAUGGCAUGGAGCGCCCGAGACUUUGUGAUACGCUUUCUAAGAGUCGAGUUGUUUGGGAAUGCAGCUCAAAAUGGGUGGUAAAUGCCAUCUAAGGCUAAAUAUUGGGGAGAGACCGAUAGCGAACAAGUACAGUGAUGGAAAGAUGAAAAGAACUUUGAAAAGAGAGUUAAACAGUACGUGAAAUUGCCAAAAGGGAAGGGUAGGAGGUCAGAGAUGCGUUCUGGGAUUCAGCCUUGCUUUUGCUUGGUGUUUUUCCCAGAUGGCAGGCCAACGUCGGUUUUGGGCGCUGGAGAAGGGUGGAAGGAAUGUGGCACCUCUCGGGGUGUGUUAUAGCCUUCUACUGGAUACAGUGACCGAGACCGAGGACAGCAGCGUACUCGCAAGAGCGGGCCUUCG
rnacentral:rRNA from 1 species